rnacentral:tRNA from 1 species
GGCGGCGUAGCUUAGCAGGUUAGAGCAGUCGGUUCAUACCCGACAGGUCGUUGGUUCAAAUCUGACCGCCGCUACCA